AGAGGAUUGAACUACUGUUUAUCAGUGUAUAACAACCAACGGCUUCCACAGCAUAAUCAAAUCUAACACAUUGAGACAGUGAAGAAGGAGGCUGUAAAUCUUCCUAAUAUAGCACGAGGAAUUUAAAAUGUUUAGACCAACCAAGUAUUCAAAUAAGCAGAAUGAUAAAUAUUUCAAAUUGUAACUGCAUCUUAGCAUCAGUAAACAUAGCAAGUCCGAGCUUUCUGAAUCCUCUAAACCCCACAUAUUCCCAAUCAAAAUCAUGGUCGUGCAGAAUAAUCAAAUUCAAGGAACCAGGAAGUCAUAGAGGACUGUCGCUGCAUCUUAUGCAAGCUAGAGAGCCAAGUCAAAAAGGAAAUUUCUCAGAAACAACAACAACAAAAUAAGCUAGAUCCAAACAUACAGCGAGCAGAAUAGUGGAGGGCGAUCCAACAUCACUAAAAGCCACUACCUUCACCACAAUCAUCAUUCACGCCAACGGGAGUCCUCUAAGAAUAAGACCAUCAUUCGAAAACAUCUUUUGACAAAUCAUUGGACAACGUUUCUGAAGACGAAUCAUUACCCAAACUCAAUUUCACCCAUGAUUCGGUAACGUUUCACUACAAGUAACAAUUUCUCCACAGAAAGGAAUACAAAGGAAGCAAACGAAACAGUGAGAAAGGGAGAAUGACGACUGCACUCAAGACAGUGGACUCAAAAAGCAUCAAGCGUGAACCUGUUCAGCUCGGAUAUGUCAAUUCAGAAACAACAGCUGCUAACAUCACCACACAAUAGGAUUCACGUUGCGAAAAUAGAAGAAGAUAAAAUAGGAUCCAGAACCAGCAGCUAACGUUGAGUGAGAGAAGAGAGACACCAAUCAGAUCUCGGUGAAAAGGAACAGUGGGGAGCGGAGAUUGAGCAACUGAAUGGGGACGAACCUGGCGAGACCGCGGCAGUGGCAGGAGGAGAAAGGAGAUUGAUAGAAAGCGACGGCAAAAUUGGCGAGUGAUGCGUGAAGUAGUGAGAGAGGAGGGAGACAAAGGAAUAUGGGAAUCUCCGCCGGGUAUUGUACGGAACCGGGCAUUACUCGCUGAAACGCUGCGCAGCUGAA
rnacentral:lncRNA from 1 species